AAAGGAAGAAGAUCUAAGAAUGCUUCUUUAAGAAGCUUUCUUGAUGAAGGGGAGUGGCAGACGGGUGAGUAACGCGUGGGAACAUACCCUUUUCUACGGAAUAGCUCUGGGAAACUGGAAUUAAUACCGUAUACGCCCUACGGGGGAAAGAUUUAUCGGGGAAGGAUUGGCCCGCGUUGGAUUAGCUAGUUGGUGGGGUAAAGGCCUACCAAGGCGACGAUCCAUAGCUGGUCUGAGAGGAUGAUCAGCCACAUUGGGACUGCGACACGGCCCAAACUCCUACGGGAGGCAGCAGUGGGGAAUAUUGGACAAUGGGCGCAAGCCUGAUCCAGCCAUGCCGCGUGAGUGAUGAAGGCCUUAGGGUUGUAAAGCUCUUUCACCGAUGAAGAUAAUGACGGUAGUCGGAGAAGAAGCCCCGGCUAACUUCGUGCCAGCCGCCGCAGUAACAC
rnacentral:rRNA from 1 species